rnacentral:rRNA from 1 species
CCUGGGGAGUGCGGCGGCAAGGUUAAAANUCAAANGAAUAAACGGGGGCCCGCACAAGCGNUGGAGCAUGUGGUUUAAUACGAUGCAACGCGAAGAACCUUNCCAGGUNUUGACAUCCNUGAAAAUUUCUAGAGAUAGAUUGGUGCCUUCGGGAAUCAGGUGACAGGUGCUGCAUGGCUGUCGUCAGCUCGUGUCGUGAGAUGUUGGGUUAAGUCCCGUAACGAGCGCAACCCUNGUCCUUAGUUGCCNGCACAUAAUGGUGGGAACUCUAAGGAGACUNCCGGUGACAAACCGGAGGAAGGUGGGGANGACGUCAAGUCAUCAUGGCCCUUACGACCUGGGCUACACACGCAUACAAUGGCAAGUACAGAGGGNUGCAAAGGCGCGAGCUGGAGNGAAUCCCACAAAACUUGUCGUAGUCCGGAUUGGAGUCUGCAACUCGANUCCAUGAAGUCGGAAUCNCUAGUAAUCGUGAAUCAGAAUGUCACGGUGAAUACGUUCCCGGGCCUUGCACACACNGCCCGU